GUUUCAGCCGCCGCGGUAAUACGGAAGGUCCGGGCGUUAUCCGGAUUUAUUGGGUUUAAAGGGAGCGUAGGCCGGAGAUUAAGCGUGUUGUGAAAUGUAGGUGCUCAACAUCUGCACUGCAGCGCGAACUGGUUUCCUUGAGUACGCACAAAGUGGGCGGAAUUCGUGGUGUAGCGGUGAAAUGCUUAGAUAUCACGAAGAACUCCGAUUGCGAAGGCAGCUCACUGGAGCGCAACUGACGCUGAAGCUCGAAAGUGCGGGUAUCGAACAGGAUUAGAUACCCUGGUAGUCCGCACGGUAAACGAUGGAUGCCCGCUGUUGGUCUGAAUAGGUCAGCGGCCAAGCGAAAGCAUUAAGCAUCCCACCUGGGGAGUACGCCGGCAACGGUGAAACUCAAAGGAAUUGACGGGGGCCCGCACAAGCGGAGGAACAUGUGGUUUAAUUCGAUGAUACGCGAGGAACCUUACCCGGGCUUGAAUUGCAGAGGAAGGAUUUGGAGACAAUGACGCCCUUCGGGGUCUCUGUGAAGGUGCUGCAUGGUUGUCGUCAGCUCGUGCCGUGAGGUGUCGGCUUAAGUGCCAUAACGAGCGCAACCCCUCUCCUUAGUUGCCAUCAGGUCAGGCUGGGCACUCUGGGGACACUGCCACCGUAAGGUGUGAGGAAGGUGGGGAUGACGUCAAAUCAGCACGGCCCUUACGUCCGGGGCUACACACGUGUUACAAUGGCAGGUACAGAGAGAUGGUGUUCUGCAAAGCGCAUCUAAUCCUUAAAGCCUGUCUCAGUUCGGACUGGGGUCUGCAACCCGACCCCACGAAGCUGGAUUCGCUAGUAAUCGCGCAUCAGCCAUGGCGCGGUGAAUACGUUCCCGGGCCUUGUACACACCGCCCGUCAAAC
rnacentral:rRNA from 1 species